GAUUAUUUAUAUUAUACUAUUUUUUUUGGUUUCGCCCCAAAUUAUUCAAGAAAUAGUUC
rnacentral:tRNA from 1 species